GAGGAUGUCAAAGCUGUGAAAUAAGGCCUGCUUGGGUGCCAGGACCCUGGGAAACAAAGCCUCCUCUCACUGCUGGAACAGUGUUAAUUAGGAUGGUCUGGACUAUCUCUUCUUCCUCAGGACCUUGGGAGAUAACACCUACUCUCACUGCUGGGGCAGUGUUAAUCAUUGCGGACUGGAAUUAACUCCUUCUUACCUGAGCUAUGGGAUCUCUCCUUGGGACCACCACUGCAAGGGUAAAGCAGUCAUUCGCAGUCACUCACACUCCUUUCUUCAGUGCUGAAGAGUGCUCAAGGCAGCUAGCCUGCUGUUGGGGGGGGGUGUUCGGCUGCCCCCCCCAGUCCAUGACUGUGGGUGCAAUCAUCAUAACAACGACAGAGGAGAGUUGACCCCUGCAACAGCCAGGAGCUAGGGACUGCGACUGCGCAAAGAGAACUGCAACUGGCCUUGCAACUCCACCUCCACCUUCCCCUAAAGGGUAUAAAUAGGUUGGCCCCAGAGGCUGUCUUUGGCUCUUCACGGGUGACAGCGGGUCUGCCAACUUGCGGAUCCCCUCGGGACGGGGACGCCCUCCUGCAGUUACUUCCUUGGGACUGAGUGUACAUUGGCCGCUCAGGCAACGCGUGGGUGGAUUUCACUCUAGGUUGUAUGUAAGACUGCAAUGAAAACAACUAAUUGUACGAGUGCUACUUCAGGAAAAUCAGAGAGAAAAAAGCAGUUCAGCAUUAAUGAGCUCCAGCAGAGAGAUGGACUUUAACCUAGGACACAGAAGAAAGAAAAAAAAGGAACCACAAGACUGACUCCAAACGACAAGAUAAGGGAGUAAAAGAGCCAUUGACAACUAUGCAGAAGUGAGAUAAGAAGUAAAGAACACAACUGGAAACUACGGAAAGGACCAAUCAUGAGCUGGAAGACCCCAAACUCUAAUAUUAUGAUUGGUUCAGAACUAUGGGGUGGAUACUAGACUGGAAGGGUAUGGUUACCCAGGGAUUUGUUCAAACGGGGUCCUCUUCGGAGACACCCAGCUCGAGCUGUAAUUACUGCACGUGUGUCAUUAAAAUUUAUUUUGCUCUGA